rnacentral:lncRNA from 1 species
AUUAACCAAACAAAGUUCAUCUUAGCUAAAUACAUCAUCAUCAUCAAGAACUAAAAAAAAAACAAAACUAAGCUAAAUGCAUCAAAUAUAUUUUACCAAGUCGGUUUUACAUAUUACCGAUACUUCAGUUAGUAAAAUAUAAUAUCUUAACUUCGCACAUGAAUAAUAUAAAGCCAAACAUAACUUUUCAAUAGUCGAAUACCUUUUUUCAGUAACUAAAAGACGUCGGCUUAGAUAAUAAAUGGCUUGUUCUUCCUUUUCUUCAUUUUCUUAAGCUAACAAGCAUCCCAAAUUUUCUUCUGCAGUCGAUAUAUAUAAUUUCAUCGGCUGAUUUGUCUUCGGAGGUACCAAUA